GACGAACGCUGGCGGCGUGCUUAACACAUGCAAGUCGAACGGAAAGGCCCAGCUUGCUGGGUACUCGAGUGGCGAACGGGUGAGUAACACGUGGGGAAUCUGCCCCUGACUUUGGGAUAAGCCGGGGAAACGGGGCCUAAUACCGGAAAUGACCUUACAUCGCAGGGUGUUGGGUGGAAAGCUUUGGCGGUUGGGGAUGGGCCCGCGGCCUAUCAGCUUGUUGGUGGGGUAAUGGCCUACCAAGGCGACGACGGGUAGCCGACCUGAGAGGGUGAUCGGCCACACUGGGACUGAGACACGGCCCAGACUCCUACGGGAGGCAGCAGUGGGGAAUAUUGCACAAUGGGCGCAAGCCUGAUGCAGCGACGCCGCGUGAGGGAUGACGGCCUUCGGGUUGUAAACCUCUUUCACCAGGGACGAAGCGUGAGUGACGGUACCUGGAGAAGAAGCACCGGCCAACUACGUG
rnacentral:rRNA from 1 species